CGCUCCUACCGAUUGAAUGAU
rnacentral:siRNA from 1 species